AGGCUAUCAAGGGUUGGCCGACCUGGAAGUUGGGCUCUCAGGACGGAACCAUCCGGGAGAACCAGCUUCCUCAGUAACUCGAAGUUGUGGUGCCCCGGCUUGUCACUGACAUAGAUGGAGCAACCACCAACAGCUCUUGCUGCACCAUGGUACUCAGCAGCGGGGUGGAGACUGUGAAACAUAUCCCAAUCGGGCAGCAUGAACUCACCGAGGAACAGACUGUUGUAGGCGACGGAG
rnacentral:misc_RNA from 1 species